GGCCAGACUCCUACGGGAGGCAGCAGUGAGGAAUAUUGGUCAAUGGGAGGAAUCCUGAACCAGCCAUGCCGCGUGCAGGACGACGGCUCUACGAGUUGUAAACUGCUUUUGUACCGGGGUAAAAUGCCUUACGAGUAGGGUUUUGAAAGUACGGUACGAAUAAGGAUCGGCUAACUCCGUGCCAGCAGCCGCGGUAAUACGGAGGAUGCGAGCGUUAUCCGGAUUUAUUGGGUUUAAAGGGUGCGUAGGUUGUUUUUUAAGUCAGCGGUGAAAGUUUGUGGCUCAAACAUAAAAUUGCCGUUGAAACUGGAAGACUUGAGUGUGUUUGAGGUAGGCGGAAUGCGUGGUGUAGCGGUGAAAUGCAUAGAUAUCACGCAGAACUCCGAUUGCGAAGGCAGCUUACUAAGCCAUAACUGACACUGAAGCACGAAAGCGUGGGGAUCAAACAGGAUUAGAUACCCGAGUAAA
rnacentral:rRNA from 1 species